CGGGGGUUUUCGAGGCGGCGCUCGUGGUCGCCUUGCGCGCGAUCGCGUCGGCGAUCGCGGCGGCGGUCUUCGC
rnacentral:tRNA from 1 species